rnacentral:rRNA from 1 species
UACGUAGGGUGCAAGCGUUGUCCGGAAUUAUUGGGCGUAAAGAGCUCGUAGGCGGUCUGUCACGUCGGCUGUGAAAUCCCGAGGCUCAACCUCGGGUCUGCAGUCGAUACGGGCAAACUAGAGUAUUGCAGGGGAGACUGGAAUUCCUGGUGUAGCGGUGAAAUGCGCAGAUAUCAGGAGGAACACCGGUGGCGAAGGCGGGUCUCUGGGCCGAUACUGACGCUGAGGAGCGAAAGCGUGGGUAGCAAACAGG